rnacentral:rRNA from 1 species
UCCCAGCCCUACGGGGUGCAGCAGUUAGGAAUUUUCUGCAAUGUACGAAAGUAUGACAGAUUGAGUCAGAGUGCUUUUCAUAUGAAAAGCUUUUGCCAAAUGUAAAAAGUUUGGCGAAUAAGGACUGGGUAAGACGAGUGCCAGCCGCCGCGGUAAUACUCGCGGUCCAAGUCGCAGCCAUCAUUAUUGGGUCUAAAACAUCCGUAGCUUGCUUAAUAAGUUUCUUGUGAAAUUCCAUGUCUCAAAUAUGGAGCGGGCAAGAAGUACUGUUAAGCUAGAGACUGGAAGACGUAAGAAGUACGUUUGGAGUAGCGGUAAAAUGUGUUAAUCCCAGACGGACUAACAACAGCGAAGGCAUCUUACGAGGACAGUUCUGACAGUAAGGGAUGAAGGCUAGGGGCGCAAAAGGGAUUAGAUACCCCUGUAGUCCUAGCAGUAAACACUGCACACUAAACAUUAGUACCUCCUCGAGAGGUGUUAGUGCUGAAGAGAAGUCGAAGAGUGUGCUACCUGGGAAGUAUAGUCGCAAGGCUGAAACUUAAAGGAAUUGGCGGGGAGACACUACAACGGGUGACGCGUGCGGUUCAAUUAGAUUCUACACCGUGAACCUCACCAGGAGCGACAGCAGGAGAAGGUCAGUCGAAAGAUCC